rnacentral:rRNA from 1 species
GACGAACCGUACGAACGUUAUUCGGAAUUACUGGGCUUAAAGGGUGCGUAGGCUGCGCGGAAAGUUGGGUGUGAAACUCCCUCGGCUCACCGAGGAACUGCGCCCAAAACUACCGUGCUCGAGGGAGACAGAGGUGAGCGGAACUUAGGGUGGAGCGGUGAAAUGCGUUGAUAUCCUAAGGAACACCCGUGGCGAAAGCGGCUCACUGGGUCUCUUCUGACGCUGAGGCACGAAAGCUAGGGUAGCGAACGGG